ACCUAAUAAAGUAUUCACAUUGGAGCUGUCACCUCUCUGGUGGGCACUUGACUAAGGGGACAUAUUAAUGACACAGCAUAACAAUAGAUUAGCCUGAAAUCUUAGUUGACUGUAUUCUGGAACUAAGAUUCUCCUUGAUGCUUUUUAAGACUAUUAGCAUUUUUAAUACCAUGGCAAACUACAGCUUAUUCAGACUUAGCUCCUUGUUCUGAAUCAGUUAGCAUCUAAUGUAAAGGUGAUGAAACACGGGAAAAAUGUCUUUGGUAGGUAGGUCCAAGUGGAUGUAGUUAAGUUAUACGUGACCUGCUGCCCUAAUACUUCAAAGAAAACAGAAGCAGGUGUUGAUAUUUUCCCAAAUAAUGGUUUGGUUAUGUUUGGUAGACUGUGUUUAUUGCACCAUAAAAUUGACAUUUCAGAACCGAUUGCCAUUUACAGCAGGAGUUUCUCCUGAUAAACUUUUUUCUUCUUAAACUUCCAGACUCACAUAAGCUUUCAAAACUGUGUUUAUAGUUUUAAGUUGAUUCAUACUUUUGCUUAAGCUUAGGUUCUCCUGUGAAGCUUUGGGUUUGUGUGUGAUGCCUUUUGUGAAUGAUGUAUAUUUCAAUCCUUUAAAAAUACAUAAAACAUGGCUUCGAUUUUGAAAGAUUAGUCAAUCCAUUUGCUUUAAAUUUUGUUAAUAACAAACAACUCACUCAAGACAAGCACAGUUAUUUUAUCAUUUUAUUUCUGUGUAUGGACGUGUUGUCUGUGUGUAUGGCUGUGUAUAGCUAUGUUCGUCAUGCAUAUGUGGUGCCUGCAAAGGUGAGAGAGGGCAUGGGAUACCAUGGAACUGAACUUGCAGACAGCUGUGAGUCACAUUGUGAGUGCUGGGAAUCAAGCCCAGUUCCUCUGAGGGAGCAUCCAGUCCUCUUAACUGCUGAGCUAUGUCUCCAACUCCAGAAAGUAAAUGACAGAGUACCUAACGUAUUACCCAUAUUUAUAUAAUAAACAAGACAAAUAUAUCAGCUAAGAAAAUAUUUUGAUAAAAUAUAAAACCUGUCAUGUGUUAAGUGACUUUUAAUAGCUUUAAAAUAUUUUGUUACUGUUGUUGGUUCAGCUAAAUUUCAUAAAAUGUAGUCUUAUGUGACUACUAAUUUAUAUUUCUGCACAUCUUCAGUAAAUAAUACUUAUUUUAGGCUCUAAUAAUUCAUUUAUGAGUGGCUAUAUCAGGAGUAGAGAAAAAAUGGCAUAUUAGUUUGCUCAUGCUGCUAUAUCAAGGUACCAGACUGAGUGGAUUUAAUAACUUAUCCUUUUCUCAGUCCUAGAAGUCCAGAAUGAUGUGGCCAGCACAUAGCUUUCUGGUGAGGACCUUCCUCCUGGCUUACAUGGCUGCCCCCUUGCUGAGUCCUCCUGUGGUCUCUCCUGUAUACUCAUGCACUCCCACUGUCUGUUGUUCCUUGGAGAUGGCCAUUGUUGCUCUUAUUUUUAGGAUCCACCACAGUACAGCAUUUUCCAUAUUUACUUCUCUAAAGACCCACCUUUAAAGGCACACUUAAGUUGAAAGUUGAGCCGAGAGAGAGAGAGAGAGAGAGAGAGAAAGAGAGAGAGAGAGAGAGAGAGAGAGAGAGAGAGAGUGUAUGAGAGAGGGGGAUAGGGAGAGAGAGAGAAUUCGGGCAUGGGGACAAUAAUAAAGUCAAAAACAGUUUUAUUGGUGAUUAUGAUCUAAAAAGUUACAUGAAUCUUACUCUCAUUCAACAAAUGACCAUUCAUCUGAUGAAUAUUUUCUUUAAAUUAUUGAGAAUAAAUUAGAAAGUAUUUCAUAAUUCCUCUGUAUCUUUUAAGGUUAGGCAAAGAGUGAAGGUGGUCACUUUCAGGAGUUGGUCUGCUUCCCUAUACGUUGAGUAUAUGCUAUCUCUUUUAAUAAGGACAUGGGUUUGAUAUGAAAUGGAGUGUUGUGCAAGAACUAUUUUAAACUUUAUGUGUUUAUUUUAUGUGUAUGUAUGUUCUACCUACAUAUGGGUUUCUACACUGUGUUCAUGCCUGGUACUGGAAUUACACAUGGUUGUGAGCUGCUAUGUAGGUACUAGGAGUUGAAUACAGGACCUCUCUCUGUAGGAACAGUUAGUGCUCUUAACCUCUGACUUGUCUCUCUAGCCCUUAGUAACUAUCUAUUGACUGUGUAAACAGAGAGCUUGAAGGUAAUGGAUUCCACUGUUAUUGCCGAAUGUUUUCUGUCUAUUGACAGUAAAAGGAUUUAGAUAUGCCCUAUUUGUGUUUAAAUAAUAUAGGGUUAACAUUUUAGAUUUCAAGGACAAUAUUUUAUUAGAUCAAAACCAUUUUUUAAAUUAGCAGUAUUUUUUACAGAGAUAAAUGCAUAAUACUUACUUAUUUACCUAUCUUUUCCUCUGUAGAGAGAAACAAGUACUGCCUGAUUACAAAGCCUGCUGUGCACACAGUGGUAUCAUUAUAUGCUCCAUAUUGUUCCUUGCUAACAAAUACAUGUUAAUAGUAAUCCACUUUGCUUAGCUAGAGCACACAAAAGGUGUUUCUGCCAUUUCUCAUGAGACAUACAUGUUUAAAGAGAUGCUUCAAACAUGGAGUCCUCACCACACAAGUUACCCAUAGCUUAUCAGCUGUAGCAAGCUGCUGUAUAUGAUGGAGUCUCAGGGAAUUUGGUCUGAGCUUUCCAGGUUGGGAGGAGUGCCCUGUAAUAUUGAGCUGCUUUGUACAUUCCACAGUACCAUCCCUUAAGGCCUGUGUUUAUGAUGAUCUGGAACAGCUCUCUGCUAACAUAUGAUCCGCUGUGGGGCCAGACACCAACUAGAAUAAAGUAUCUAGGAAAUGCUAUUGUAUCUGUUACCUCAGCUGCUAACAAGAAGUCAGAGCCACAUAAAGAUGUGAAGUAUCUAGGGGGUCAUUGUGAGGGAACACACUUUACAUGAGGAGAGUAGAGAUUAAAGAAGGAAAUGUACUGGCAUAACCUUUUCUUUUAAGCUUUAGUUUUGUAAUGAUUCCUACAAAUGACUCAGAUGUGAGCAUGCUUUCAGUUACACAUGAUUAAUUGAUAAUAAAUAGUUGAUUUAUAAAGUUGGUUGAUUAAUCAAAUCAAAUACAGAUUGCUUUAGCAAAGAGUCUGAAAGUACACAGUGUAAGUGAAAGUUAGUUUUCAGGUAUGCCUGAAUUAAUACUGUGUCCUGUGCCUGGAUAGCUAGCUCAGACAGGUUGCCUAAAUUAUUUAAUCAUAUUUC
rnacentral:lncRNA from 1 species